rnacentral:rRNA from 1 species
AAUCAGUUUAUGGGGUUUCGAGUUCUUGAGUAGAGGCAGGGUCAAACCGUUUCUCUUUUGGACUUGAGAUUUGUUAGAUGUACUUUUUCUUUGGCAGGUCAACGUCGGUUUCGGGGGUUGUAAAAUACUUGGGGGAAAGUAGCUCUGCUUCGGGAGAGUGUUAUAGACCCUGGGAGAUGCAGCCUGUGGGAUCGAGGAUUGCAGCAAAUGCCUUCUGGCUUGUCGCCUGUUCCUGGGUGUUACCUCUCUUGUGACAACAUUCUUGCCACCGGAGGGUACUAAUGUCCACUGUUUAGAGCGAUCGAAAAUUUUGCUAAGGAUGCUGACGUA